rnacentral:rRNA from 1 species
GGGCGUAAAGCGCGCGCAGGUGGUUUCUUAAGUCUGAUGUGAAAGCCCACGGCUCAACCGUGGAGGGUCAUUGGAAACUGGGAGACUUGAGUGCAGAAGAGGAAAGUGGAAUUCCAUGUGUAGCGGUGAAAUGCGUAGAGAUAUGGAGGAACACCAGUGGCGAAGGCGACUUUCUGGUCUGUAACUGACACUGAGGCGCGAAAGCGUGGGGAGCAAACAGGAUUAGAUACCCUGGUAGUCCACGCCGUAAACGAUGAGUGCUAAGUGUUAGAGGGUUUCCGCCCUUUAGUGCUGAAGUUAACGCAUUAAGCACUCCGCCUGGGGAGUACGGCCGCAAGGCUGAAACUCAAAGGAAUUGACGGGGGCCCGCACAAGCGGUGGAGCAUGUGGUUUAAUUCAAAACAACGCGAA